CCAGCAGCUGCGGUAAUUCCAGCUCCAAUAGCGUAUAUUAAAGUUGUUGCAGUUAAAAAGCUCGUAGUUGGAUUUGUGGUGGUCCCUGGGGUCCGAUUUCGGUGCUCUUGGGGACUGCCAUCUUUGGGUGGAUUCUGUGUGGCAUUAGGUUGUCGUGCAGGGGAUUCCCAUCGUUUACUGUGAAAAAAUUAGAGUGUUCAAAGCAGGCUUACGCCGUUGAAUAUAUUAGCAAGAUAGGACUCUGGUACUAUUUUGUUGGUUUGCGCAUCAGGGUAAUGAUUAAUAGGGAUAGUUGGGGGUAUUCGUAUUCCAUUGUCAGAGGUGAAAUUCUUGGAUUUCUGGAAGACGAACUAAUGCGAAAGCAUUUACCAAGGAUGUUUUCAUUAAUCAAGAACGAAAG
rnacentral:rRNA from 1 species